GUUUAAUGCUGUGUGAGACUGCAUGUGUUUGUUCAUGGCACUGUGCUUAUGUUUAAGCUGUACAUGUCAGCUUGAGUAUGAGAUGAUUUUGUAUGUCUCUUGUUACAUUUGUGUAGGUGACUCUGUGUUUGUAAUGUAUUAAAACCCAGUAGCUGGGUUUAACCUCAUUACUCUUGAUUUUGAUGAUACCUAAGAGACACUAAAGGAACACUAAGUAUUAGUUGGUUAUUUAUUUAUUUAUACAUUUCUAGUAAAAUUUAUGGGAAAGUCUUACAUUCC